UACAGAGGGGGCAAGCGUUGUUCGGAAUUACUGGGCGUAAAGGGCGCGUAGGCGGCCUGCUAAGGCGAACGUGAAAUCCCCGGGCUCAACCCGGGAACUGCGUCCGAUACUGGUUGGCUUGAAUCCGGGAGAGGGAUGCGGAAUUCCAGGUGUAGCGGUGAAAUGCGUAGAUAUCUGGAGGAACACCGGUGGCGAAGGCGGCAUCCUGGACCGGCAUUGACGCUGAGGCGCGAAAGCCAGGGGAGCAAACGGG
rnacentral:rRNA from 1 species